rnacentral:rRNA from 1 species
ACGGGUGAGUAACGCGUGAGUAACCUGCCUUUCAGAGGGGGAUAACGUUCUGAAAAGAAUGCUAAUACCGCAUGACAUAUCGGAACCACAUGGUUUUGAUAUCAAAGAUUUUAUCGCUUGAAGAUGGACUCGCGUCCGAUUAGUUAGUUGGUGAGGUAACGGCUCACCAAGACCACGAUCGGUAGCCGGACUGAGAGGUUGAACGGCCACAUUGGGACUGAGACACGGCCCAGACUCCUACGGGAGGCAGCAUG